rnacentral:lncRNA from 1 species
AAAGAAAGCCGUGUGUGAUGAGGAUAAGACAGCAGGUAUGAGAGAGGGCUGGAUGACGUGCAGGGGUGGAGGGAAGCAAAGAAACCUACAGGGAAGUCUGCUAAAAGGGUAUGAGAUGGGUUUUCUUUUCUGUUUUUAUGUUUUUGUCUCCACAGUGGGAUUUGGAGGGUGGUGUGGUCUCAGCAGGCAGUCUCUGGAGUCCUCUGGACUGAGCUGGUCUGGUGCCAAGUCCUUUGCAGGCUGAGCCUUGAGAGUUGGGCACUUGGAACCAAUACAUAAGGGCCUUGGUUGACUGUGAGGUUGCAAGACCUGAGUUCUAGAUCUGGCUUGGCUAGUGUGCUUCCAUAUAAAAAGAGGGGGUUGGGUUCGCUUAACUCAAGAUUCCUUCCAGCUUCCUAAGUGGCAAAACAGGCUUGCUUGUCUCCAAGGCCCUUAGUGUGUUGGUAAUUUGAGGGGCUUGGCUGUAUGAAAGGCAGGUGGAGGGAGGAGCCAGCUGGCCUGCCAAGUCCUGGGCAGGAGCAAGGCCUGGGAUCAGGCUCCUCCACUUUGGCCUGGGGGUGGGGUGGUGUGGUGUGGUGUGUGCAGGGUGUCUGGUUUCUUUGAGUUAUGGCAAUCCUAUUUCCAUAACAUGUUUCCCAGCCUUCUGUGGCCUGCCUGUAACUUUCUAAAGGGAUUCUGGUAGGCCCUAACUAGGGAUCCCGAUAAGAGCCGGAUGUUCUUCCCAGUCUGUGUGCUUGGUGUUUUGUAUCCGCAGAGGGGAGGGGGAGCUGGCUAGGAGUUGAGCUCUCAUUGGGUGGGGGAUGGGCUUUCUAGCUUCCCUGGCUCUAGUGAAAUACUCAAGAGGUGGAGGCUUGGUUUCCUGGAAGAAAUAGUUGCAGAGGAACCGGCAGUAUGUUUUGGAAACAAAGCUCUUCCUUUUCAGUUUUGUUCUGAUUAGUACCUCCAGAAUGUUAAAAUUCCUGAUGGUGGCGGAGGGAAGAAGACACAGAACAAGCACUUUUAUUAAGGUUUUUGAACAUGAGGUUUAAAUCCAAGGAAAUCCAGCUUCAUGGCCUUUCUCUCCCCUGGAUUUGUGGGGGCAAAAAGACAGUCUCUGUCUAGGGCCUGCUUAGCACCUGUGUAUGUGGAGAAGCGCCUGCCUGGGCCUUAUAUCUAUAUUAUAAACAAUCUUUGUCUGACGGGCUUUGAGAAGCAUUUGGUUCUACAGGUGUUUUCUCUUGGAGGUGGACAGGGCACGAGAGCACAUCAGAGCUACCCUGGGUAUCUUCACAGAAUGGUUCCCUGAGUGAUGGAAUUUCUUUCUCUUCCCCCAAAGAAUAUGGUUUUGCUUAUUCCUUAUUUAUUGGCACUAUGGCUUUUUGGGUAUGGGAUAGUAAGGAGAGCAAGUUUUCCUACCAUGUACCUUCAAGGUCAUUUCCACAGAGAGAGCCAGAGAGACUCCUAGUAUAGUUGGGAAUCCCCCCGAAUUGGAGGUAUGCUUCAGAAAGCAAUGUGGACUAAUAAUAGUAAUUCCUCAUGCUGCCAAGAAAUCCAAAUUUAACCUCAGAGCUGCUCAGAAAUAUAAAAAGGGGGACUGCGGAGUGGGUUAGAGGAUGUUAUAUAUGUGCAUUUCUAGAAAAAAAAAAAGUAAUUCAUCCCUUUUUGAAACAGUAUGCAGUGUUGAUUCAAGUUGGCUUCAUGACUCGUAAGGCUGUAAAGCCUAACUGAAAGCUAUAGACCAGAAAUAGCCAAGUAGGUGAGCAAGAAUUUUGUUACUUGAAGUGAACCAAACAGAUAGUUUCCUGUUAGCAGCAGAAUAAAAUGCUUUGCAUAAGAGAAUCCCUAGGAAAAUUUCCUAGGCCUUUGAUACCAUGUAAACAAUGAAGUAAUUCUGUCCUGGGAAGAGAGUCUGGAACUGGGUGAUGAGUUCACUAUACAAACUAGAUCAAGGUGGACACCUGGAUGGCUCAGUUGGUGUUCGACUUUGGCUCAGGUCAUGAUCUCAUGGUUGGUGAGUUCGAGCCCCACGUUGGGCUCUGUGCUGACAGCUCAGAGCCUGGAGCCUGCUCCGGAUUCUGUGUCUCCCUCUUUCUGCCCCUCUGCUGCUCACACUCUGUGUCUCUCUCGCCCUCUCAAAAAUAAACAUUAAAAAAAAAAAAACUGGAUCAAGGUACUUAAAAUGUAAAAUUAAGGUUUAAUUUUAAUGCAUGAGUACCUAGCUAUCCAUCCACCUCUGGCGUAUGUGGUUAUGCCUACCUUUGGCAAAAGAUGUACCAGUAUCAGUUGUGUUAUAAGCAGACCUCAGAGGCAGAUAUUCUGCUGCCAUUGUAAGUGUGUUUCUUAUGGAGAAUCAACCAAAACCCAGUUUUGCUUUCAGUCUGUGAUUCAGAGUGGUGAUGUCAUUUUCUUUAUAAUUGUGCUUAGCAAGUAGACUCCCUUUGGCACAUAGAACAGCCCUAGUGAAAUGACUUAUGCCUGGCAUCUGCCCAGGGUUCCUUUCUCAUAUGGGAAGGGAAUUGGCAGCUGGAAAUCAGCCUCUAAGGUCCCACUAGACUGGAGGUGGCCAUCACCUCCCACCUUUCUUCCUAUUUCUUCUUGGCUAAAUGUGAUGGCAGCCCUGGAUUGGUUCCUCUUUGCGUAGGGAUUAGUCAUCAGAGACCUUCCUAGUCUCAGUAAAAGCAGCCUGUGUGAGGGAAGUCUGAGCCUAGAGAGUGUUCUAUGAGGUAGGGCCUGAGACAAGAAUGGAUCAGAAGAGGUUGAGAGAGGGGAAUGAAUUUAGAAUGCUUGGGAAUGUGGUUUUUAUGUCUUUUCACUUGAUACCACAAAAUAGGUAAUACCAAGGCCAUCUAACACCCCUUCCGAUAGGUAAUGGAAACCAGAGAGAAAGGGUGCAGACCUAAGCAAGCUCAGGCCACUGAUUCAAGUGAAACAUGAUCAAAAGUAUAUCAAGGAGAAUAUGAAUUCACAUAUUUGUUAGAUGUAGCUGAAUGGAAGUUAGCCACAGAAUUACUUUUAUAUUAAAUCUCUACAUAGCAGGCUAUCCACUGCUUUGAGCAAACUAAAUAUAAAAAUCAAAACUGACAAAAAAUCAACUGGAAGUGAUUCUUUAAUAGAUUCUUUACUCUAUUAAGAGAUUUAAAGUUCCUUCCUUUAAAUAGUAAGCACCCUAGAGAUUUAAAAAUAGGAUUUGAAUUAUAAAAAUUUGAUUUACCAGCAACACUCCCCAGGAAUACAUCUGCUACGUGCAGUGCCUGUCUCUAGUCAGUGUAUGAAAUUAGACAUUUCAGGCAACGGUUUCACAGAAUGCUUUAAAUUAGAGGCAGCAGGAUGUGAUCUGUCGUAGCACUCAUAUGUAUCCUGAGGAGUGUUUCCAAGGGCAUGUCUGAUAACUGAGAAAAUAAAGACACUAACAGAUAGGCUCUGAUCUCCCAUCUUUCUUUUGAAUUGACUUGGAUACUUGACACCCUCAUUUCUAGCAUGGUAUAUUUGUUUCUUCUCCAAAAGCAAGACCAGACCAAGUGGAUGUUCGGGUUCAGGCUGAUAUAUUUGAUUGUUCUUAAUGAGCCUGAUCUUUCUGAUCAAGCCUGAUCAGGCUCUAGACUGAGCUGCUGCUUUUUAUUUUUUAAUGUUUAUUUAUUUUGAGAGAGAGCUCACAGUCGUGAGUGGGUUAGGGGCAGAGAGAGAGAGGGAGAGAGAGAAUCCCAAGCAGGCUUCACACCUUCAACAUGGAGCCUGAUGAGGGGCUCGAUCUCAUGAACCAUGAGAUCAUGACCUGAGCCGAAAUCAAGAGUUGGAUGCUUAACUGACUGAGCCACCCAGGUGCCCCUAAGACUGACUUUUUAAAUCCUCUUUUUGGUGUUAAAGAUUAAAUCAUGCGUUCCCCCCAAUGGAGUGAGCAAGAUGUGAGGAAGAAAUGGAAAAAGCUGGGCAUUGGAACCAGUAGAAACACAACUGAACUGAAUAUGAAACCUAACUUGGUUUGGAUCUUGUGACAGAAGGACCUGUGUUUAGAAGCCACUUUCACUGUACUUAAGUUCUUAAAAGAUUCACUGUUCUCUGUUGAGAUUGGUGGCAUAUUUUGCCACAAUACCAUUUCGAACAUUAAAGCCAAUACAAGAACAGAAGGCUGUUCUUUUUUAAAUUAAUUAAUUAAUUUUUUAAGUAUUCUUUACACCCAGUGUGGGGUUUGAACUCACGACCUUAAGAUUAGGAGUUGCAUGCUCUACCGACUGAGCCAGCCAGGUGCCCCUGUUCUUUUUUUUUUUUUUUUUUAAUUAAAGAAUAACUGACAUACUAUAUUGUUAUUAGUUUUUAGGCAUAUAGCAUAGUGAUUCAGUUUUUAUAUAUGUUUCAAAAUGGUGCCAUGUGUCAUGUACAAAGUUGUUACAAUAUUAUUGACUAUAUUCCCUAUGUUGUACAUCAUAGCCCCAUGUCUUAAUUUAUUUUUUACCUGGAGGAUUAUACCUCUUAAUCCUCUUCAUCAAUUUCAUCCUCUGGCAACCAUCAGUUUUCUGUGUUUAUAAGUCUAUUUCUGUUUUGUUUGUUCAUUUGUGGUGUUCCUUUAGAUUCCGCAUAUAAUUGAAAUCCUAUUUGUCUGACUUCUUUCAUUUAGCAUAAUGCCCUCUAGGCCCAUCCACGUUCUCACAAAUGGCAAAAUUUCAUUCUUUUUUAUGGCUGAGUAGUAUACCAUUAUGUAUAUAUAUAUCACAGCUUUAUCCAUUCAUAUAUUGAUGGGCAUUUAAGUGGCUUCUGUAUCUUGGCUGUUGUAAAUAAUGCUGUGAUGAACAUAAGGGUGCAUUAUCUUUUUGAAUUAGUGUUUUCAUUUUCUUCAGAUAAAUACCUAGAAGUGAAAUUGCUGGAUUACAUGGUAGAUCUAUUUUUAAUUUUUUGAGGAACCUCUGUACUGUUUUCCACAGUGGCUGCACCAAUGUCAUUCCCACCAGUAGUGCACAAAGGUUCCUUUUUCUCCACUUCCUCACCAACACUUGUUAUUUCUUGUCUUUUUGAUAUUAGCCAUUCUAACUGGUAUGAGAUGAUUGUAUCAUUGUGGUUUUGAUUUGCAUUUCCCUGAUGAUUAGUGAUGUUGGGCAUCUUUUCAUGUGCCUCUUGGCCAUCUGUAUGUUGUCUUUGGAACAAUGUCUAUUCAGAUCCUCUGCCCAUUUAAAAAAAAAAUUUUUUUUUUAACGUUUAUUUAUUUUUGAGACAGAGAGAGACAGAGCAUGAAUGGGGGAGGGUCAGAGAGAGAGAGGGAGACACAGAAUCUGAAACAGGCUCCAGGCUCUGAGCUGUCAGCACAGAGCCCGACGCGGGGCUUGAACUCACGAACCGCGAGAUCAUGACCUGAACCGAAGUUGGAUGCCCCAUCUCUGCCCAUUUUUUAAGUAGUCUCUGCGAGAGGCUUGAACUAAUGACCCUGAGAUCAAGACCUGAACUGGGAGUGAGUCAGACACUUAACCGACUAAGCCAGCCAGGCACCCUUCCUCUGCCCUUUUUUUUUUUUUUUUUUUUUUUGCCACACCCCUCCCCCUUUGCCCAUUUUUAAAUUGGAUUAUUUUUGAUACUGAAUUGUAUGAGUUGUUUUUGUUUUUAAGGUUUUACUUUUUUUUUUUUUUAAUUUUUUUUUUUUCAACGUUUAUUUAUUUUUGGGACAGAGAGAGACAGAGCAUGAACAGGGGAGGGGCAGAGAGAGAGGGAGACACAGAAUCGGAAACAGGCUCCAGGCUCUGAGCCGUCAGCCCAGAGCCCGACGCGGGGCUCGAACUCACGGACCGCGAGAUCGUGACCUGGCUGAAGUCGGACGCUUAACCGACUGCGCCACCCAGGCGCCCCAAGGUUUUACUUUUCUUAAAGUAAUCUCUGCACCCAUUGUGAGGCUCACACUCACAAUCUCGAGGUCAAGAGUUGUAUGCUCCACUGACUGAGCCAGCCAGACACCCCUGGCAGCCCUGUAUGAGUACUUUAUAUAUUUUGGAUGUUAACCCCUUAGUGGAUAUAUCAUUUGUGAAUAUUUUCUUCCAUUCAGUAGGUUGCCUUUUCGUUUUGUUAGUUUCCCUUGCAAGCUUUUUAGUUCUGUGUAGUCUCACUUGUUUAUUUUUUGCCUUUGUUGUCCUUGCCUGAGGAGACAGAUCCCAAAAAAUAGUGCUAAGACUGAUGAAGAGCUUACUGCUAUGUUUUCUAGGUGUUUUAUGGUUUCAGGUCUUACAUGUUAAGUCUUUAAUCCAUUUUGAGUUUAGUUUUGUGAGAAAGUGGCCCAGUUUUAUUCUUUUGCAUGUAGCUGUGCAGUUUUCCCAACACCAUUUAUUGAAGAGGCUGUAUUUUCCCCAUUGUAUAUUCUUGCCUUCAUUGUUGCAGAUUAAUUGACCAUAUGUGUAUGGGUUUGUUUCUGGUCUCCCUAUCCUCUUUGACCUAUAUGUCUGUUUUUGUGCCAAUACCAUACUGUUUUGAUUACUGUAACUUUGUAAUAUACUUUGAAAUCUGAGAGUAUGAUACGUUCAGCUUUGCUUUUCUCUCCAGAAUGCUUUGGCUAUUCAGGCUCUUUUGUGGUACCAUACAAACUUUAUGAUUAUUUGUUCUAGUUCUGAGGAAAAUGCCAUUGGUGUUUUGAUAGGGAUUGCACUGAGUCUUUAGAUUUGGGUAGUAGGAACAUUUUAACAAUAUUCUUCCAGUUCAUGUCAUGGUAUAUCUUUGCAUUUGUUUGUAUCAUCUUCAGUUUCAUCAGUGUCUUACAGUUUUCAAAGUAUGGGUCUUUUAUUUCUUUCAUUAAAUUUAAUCCUAGAUAUUCUAUUUUUUUAAAUGUUUAUUUUUGAGAGAGAGCACGAGUGGGGGAGGGCCAGAGAGAGGGAGUCACAGAAUCUGAAGCAGGCUCCAGGCUCCCAGCUGUCAGCACAGAGCCUGACAUGGGGCUCGAACUCAUGAGCCGUGAGAUCAUGGCCUGAGCUGAAGUUGGAUGCUUAACCAACUGAGCCACCCAGGCACCCCUCUAUUUUUUUUUUUUUUUCAUGCAAUUGUACAUGGGAUGGUUUUCUUAAUUUCUCCUUCUGGUAGUUAUUAGUAUAUAUAAAUGCAACAGAUUUAUAUAAAUUGAAUUGAUUUUGUAUCCUGCAGCCUUACUAAAUUCAUUUAUUCUAAUAGUUUAUUGGUGAAGGUGUUGAGGUUUUCUGUAUAGAGUAGCAUGUCAUCUACAAAUAGUGACCGAGUGCCUUGUAUUUCUUUCUCUUGCCUGAUUGCUGUUCAUGCCCCUUAAUUUCUUUAACCACCAUGUAUAUACCCAUCUUCCUGUUCUUCUCACUUCAGAAAUGGCAAUCAGGUUUUUUGAAAGAGAAGCAAUUUGCCAUUCACAGCAAAUAACUAAAAGCAGAUCCAUUAUGAUGGACAAUGAAGAGGGUUGUUGACUGUGAUCUCCAGUCUCCUAGGUUUAUCCUAAACUGUAGCUGUUUCUGGUAGGGAACUGGAAGUGGAUCUCAGGAUGGGGACCAGAAACACCCGUCCACCCUCACUCACAGACACUUGCUUUCUCAUGCAGACUUUGUGGGGUAGAAGGAGGAGUUUCCAGCAGCCUUGUUUAAGAGUGGGAGAAGUAAAUGAUUUGUCACCUUGGAAUAGACUUCUUGCAUUUACUUUAAGAGGAGUGAGCCACAUAGGUUAGUGCUGAACAUAGGGCAGGCUCUAGGGAUUAUUUCUAGGAAGAAGACAACGGGAUUCUGGAUCUAGAAAAAAGAAUCCACCUUAUUCUGAUCAUUUCAUUGGGUUGGCCCCAUUGCUUAUGACAUUUGCAAGUAAAAAUUAGCUCAUAAUCAAGAUGAUGGUUGGAAUGCCCAUCAAGGGUUGAAUGUAGCUCUCUCAUCUAAAGACCGGGGAAGAAUAAUUUCUCUGGAAGUAGAAGUCUGAGAUUGAGAAAUUGGCACCAAAGUUCUAGAAGUGCAAGGGCUUUGGUGAUCUGGUUUUGUGAACCCAUGCAGUUCUGGUAUAAAAGGCUACAUCUCAUCUUUCUACCCCAGAGGAGAGGUCUGCCCAGUUCUUAGGUAGCUCCACUGACCUACAGGCAAGCCAGCUUUCCUGGUGGCUUUCAGUGGCCCAGCCUUCCUGGUGCUCCUGCAGGAACCUCAACAGAGGCCUGAAGUGGUCCCUAGGGAAUGGGAACAGAACUUACUGUGGGGGGGUGGUGGUGGUGUCUGUGUGUGUACCUUUGCUUGGGAAAGCCCUCCCCCCGUCAUAAUUUUUUGUGGUCUGGAUACUCUAUUAUUCUAUCCCUUAACACAUUGGAAUGGGGGCAUUAUAAUCGUUCUUUGUCCUCAGUAGAAAAUAAGUCCCUCAUUGGAAACAGCAUAAUCCUCAGUCAUGCUUCUUCUGCUUCCUCUGUUACUGAGGCUAAGAGUAGGGGAGAUGAGGAUGGCCUGAGGUUUUCCAGAGGAGGCAGGAAAUGGUGCAUGUGUUUUUUUUUUUUUUUACCUCCAGGUGUUGAUGCUGCUCCGGGCCCACUGACAUUGCCCUGGGAACUCCAUCUCCCAAUGAAAUUUCUAAGUGUAAUUUCAGGCCCCUGGUUGAAAUCCUUGAGAGAAAGGGGAGCUGAGCUAGAGCAGUGAAGGGUUUGGACUUCCUGUCUCAGCUGUCUCUUAGUACUGAGGAUCUUAGCUGGAUGCCCUUUGCGUUAUUGUACCAUUGCCGUGUUAGGUGUGAGUUCAGUUCUGUCACUCUGAGCCCAAGUGAAGAACUCAAAUCUGGCAUGCCGUAUAAAGCAAAUAGUGUGAAGAAUGGGGCCUUGCAUUAUUUUGCAGCCGCCUUUUGGCGGGGGUGGGAGGGGGGAGCCUUGACUUCUAGCAUUUGAUGAUUUUUGUGGUGUAAAUACUUCCCCCAGAGCCAUUCAAGCUACCAGCAUGACCUCAUUAAACACGCAGUUGGGAAGAGAUGGGCACAGUCCUGUGAGCUGGCUCCAGCACCCACUGCAGUGUCCUCCUAUAUGUUAUCCAUUGCAUUCCAGCUGCCUGCUGCCUGGGGUGUUGGGGCCAAGGGACAGACCUAUUGCUGAGUUGUGUACACGCAGUCUGCUUCUUUCCCUGCUUCACUUGCCGCUGUCCUGUGAAGUGAGCAACAUCUCAGCUUAAGGAACUACUAAAUUGGAUUCAGAGAAGGCAGUGGAGCAGAUCUGGAGCCCUGUAGGGUCCACCUGAAAAUCAUGGUGGUAGUAAGAGUACACACCUGGAGAUCACAGGGAGCUCCCUGAGGAGCCUUUCACCCUCUCUGAUCCAUCUGAUUAUUGGCUUCCUUACUUAGUUCCUAGCAAAUCUACCUUCUAGCAACACCCCAUCCUUGAUACACAUGUACCUGAGUGUCCAUACCAGUCGUGUCAGUAUAAUCUAAACACCCAUGCCCUGGUUAGAGUCUAGCAAAGGGCAAGGAAGCCCAACAUUUGGUGGCAUACCAGGGACAAGCUCAGAACAUAAUACUCUGUACUACAGUGUACCUCUUCUCUGGAAGCCAGAUCCCUGGAUUUAAUUCAGUUCUUGACCGUGGGGAGAUUUGGGUCAUUGUCUUCUUGUUCAGUUCUUUUGUUUAGAUUGGGGAGGAAAAGUGGCCUUGGGUCCUCAAGGACAUGGUACCCCAUCCAUGUGGUAUCUUGAGGCCUAUAUGCCUCUCCAGCCAGAAGUGACUGUAUAGAUUUUGAGAUUCUGUCACAUAGGUUGUUGAGACACUGUUAGGGUAAGGAAAGGGACUGGUGGGGGUACAGGGUUCUAGGCCUUGAAGGCAAGCCAGGAUCUGGUUCCUCUCAAGGUUUGUCAGUGCCACAGAGAUUUGUUUGAUGUUUAACAGGUGCUCCUCUGGUCAGAUAUGUCCAACUGACUCCCUUAGCACUUCUGGGAUUCCCCCUGCUUUCUACACGAGGAUGGGUGUGCUUUAAGAGGGCAGACUACAUCUGGAAGCUAAAGCCAAAAGGAUGGGGGCAGUGGUGUAGUGCUUGUUUAGGGAGAACCGGGUAGGGGUUGGAGGGGAUGUUGAGAUGAGUCUUCAAGUCUUGGUGUUCACGGUCUUACCUUCUCUGUCUCUUGCAGUAGUAUUUUGCCUUUGAGUAACUGUCCCCAGCUCCAGUGCUGCAGGCACAUUGUUCCGGGGCCUCUGUGGUGCUCCUGAUGCCCCUCACCCACUGUCGAAGAUCCCCGGUGGGCGAGGGGGCGGCAGGGAUCCUUCUCUCUCAGCUCUAAUAUAUAAG